rnacentral:rRNA from 1 species
GACGAACGCUGGCGGCGUGCUUAACACAUGCAAGUCGAACGGAAAGGCCCUGCUUUUGUGGGGUGCUCGAGUGGCGAACGGGUGAGUAACACGUGAGUAACCUGCCCUUGACUUUGGGAUAACUUCAGGAAACUGGGGCUAAUACCGGAUAGGAUCUCCUGCUGCAUGGUGGGGGUUGGAAAGUUUCGGCGGUUGGGGAUGGACUCGCGGCUUAUCAGCUUGUUGGUGGGGUAGUGGCUUACCAAGGCUUUGACGGGUAGCCGGCCUGAGAGGGUGAACGGCCACAUUGGGACUGAGAUACGGCCCAGACUCCUACGGGAGGCAGCAGUGGGGAAUAUUGCACAAUGGGCGGAAGCCUGAUGCAGCAACGCCGCGUGCGGGAUGACGGCCUUCGGGUUGUAAACCGCUUUCGCCUGUGACGAAGAGUGAGUGACGGUAAUGGGUAAAGAAGCACCGGCUAACUACGUG